GAUCAUGGCUCAGGAUGAACGCUAGCUACAGGCUUAACACAUGCAAGUCGAGGGGCAGCAUCAUCAAAGCUUGCUUUGAUGGAUGGCGACCGGCGCACGGGUGAGUAACACGUAUCCAACCUGCCGACAACACUGGGAUAGCCUUUCGAAAGAAAGAUUAAUACCGGAUGGCAUAGUUUUCCCGCAUGGGAUAAUUAUUAAAGAAUUUCGGUUGUCGAUGGGGAUGCGUUCCAG
rnacentral:rRNA from 1 species